rnacentral:rRNA from 1 species
GACGAACGCUGGCGGCGUGCCUAAUACAUGCAAGUAGGACGCAGUUGCGAACGGGUGAGUAACGCGUAGGUAACUACCUAUUAGAGGGGUAUAACUAUUGGAAACGAUAGCUAAUACCGCAUACUAGUAGAUGGACCUGCGUUGUAUUAGCUAGUCGGUAGGGUAAUGGCCUACCUAGGCAACGAUACAUAGCCGACCCGGAGGGGUGAUCCGCCCACCUGGGACGUGGACACGGCCCAGAAUCCUACGGGAGGCAGCAGUAGGGGAGCUUCGGCAAUGGGGGGAACCCUGACCGAGCAACGCCGCGUGAGUGAAGAAGGUUUUCGGAUCGUAAAGCUCUGUUGUUAAGGAAGCGGUACUUAACCAGAAAGGGACGGCUAACUACGUGCCAGCAGCCGCGGUAAUAC